UACGAAGGGGGCUAGCGUUGCUCGGAAUCACUGGGCGUAAAGCGCACGUAGGCGGCUUUUUAAGUCAGGGGUGAAAUCCUGGAGCUCAACUCCAGAACUGCCUUUGAUACUGAGAGCUUGAGUCCGGGAGAGGUGAGUGGAACUGCGAGUGUAGAGGUGAAAUUCGUAGAUAUUCGCAAGAACACCAGUGGCGAAGGCGGCUCACUGGCCCGGUACUGACGCUGAGGCACGAAGGUCAGGGGAGCAAACGGG
rnacentral:rRNA from 1 species